rnacentral:rRNA from 2 species
UACGUAGGGUGCAGGCGUUAAUCGGAAUUACUGGGCGUAAAGCGUGCGCAGGCGGCUUCUCAAGUCAGAUGUGAAAUCCCCGGGCUUAACCUGGGAACUGCGUUUGAAACUGGGAGGCUAGAGUGCGGCAGAGGGGGGUGGAAUUCCACGUGUAGCAGUGAAAUGCGUAGAUAUGUGGAGGAACACCGAUGGCGAAGGCAGCCCCCUGGGCCUGCACUGACGCUCAUGCACGAAAGCGUGGGGAGCAAACAGG